CAGGAUGAAGCCCUUNGGGGUGUAAAGUAUUUUNGUNCGGAACGAAANAGGUUCUCUUAAUCCGAGAGUUCCAUGAUGGUCCCGUAAGAAUAAGCCCCGGNUAAUUCCGUGCCAGCANCCGCGGUAAUACGUAGGGUCCGAGCGUUAAUCGGAAUUANUGGGCNUAAAGCGUGCGCAGGCGGUUAUNUAAUACAGAUGUGAAAUCCCCGGGCUCAACCUGGGAAGUGCAUUUGUGACUGCAUGGCUAGAGUNCGGUAGAGGGGGAUGGAAUUCCGCGUGUAGCAGUGAAAUGCGUAGAUAUGCGGAGGAACCCCGAUGGCGAAGGCAAUCCCCUGGACCUGUACUGACGCUCAUGCACGAAAGCGUGGGGAGCAAACAGGAUUAGAUACCCUGGUAGUCCACGCCCUAAACGAUGUCAACUGGUUGUUGGGAAUUA
rnacentral:rRNA from 1 species